UACAGAGGUCUCAAGCGUUGUUCGGAUUCAUUGGGCGUAAAGGGUGUGUAGGUGGCGCCGUAAGUCGGGUGUGAAAUUUCGGAGCUUAACUCCGAAACUGCAUUCGAUACUGCGGUGCUUGAGGACUGGAGAGGAGACUGGAAUUCAUGGUGUAGCAGUGAAAUGCGUAGAGAUCAUGAGGAAGACCAGUGGCGAAGGCGAGUCUCUGGACAUUUCCUGACGCUGAGGCACGAAAGCCAGGGGAGCAAACGGG
rnacentral:rRNA from 1 species